UCUUCUUCUUCUUCUUCUAUGCUGAGACCUGUGUAAACCCAUCAAGACAAUGUUGAUCCUGGACCACUUGAACACUAACCAAGGCUUUCCCGAGCAGAGAACAUGUUGCAGCCAUUGCUGGGCUGGUCCAAUUGCCAAUCCCUGAGGCAGCUGCCAGGUAGGUUCUCAUCCAUCAUUCUACUUCCUAGCACAUUAUACUCCUAAAAUUAAUUUUAUUGGUCUAAUAGGACACAGAGGGACACUGGAGUUUUUCCUGAGCCUCAUUUCCAAAAUUAAAUAGUGCAGCACAGUACAUUAGGAGUCGGGGGGAAGGCUCUGUUUAGUCAGUACCUAUUAAGAAUGAAAAGUCCCAGCUUGCUAUCAAGCUGAAGCAUCAAAACACCAUCCUAAUUACAGUGAUUUAAGUGAAUCUGUCCUUGGGGUGAAGUUUCAAUGUUCUAGCCCAAUCUGCAGGCCACUUAAGCUGAAGUACUUGGACCUAAGCCAGUUUGGUCCUGUUGACUUAGAUGAAAUGAAAUUGGCUUAAGUCCAAGUACUUUUUUGACUUAAAUGGGUUACGGGUUGGGUUGCGAGGUGGGCAUGUUUCAUUGCAGUAGGGAGCCAGUAGUCAGAUUAAGAGAUUCUUGAUGGAACGAGGCAUUUGAAGCAGUGCCUGUAAAUGGGACACUAAUGGCAUUUACACAGGAAGGGAAAUAUUGGGAGAUGUGGGCAAAUUCCAGUGAAUCAGAGCAUGAAUCUAAAGAGAAAGAAGUAGAAGAAGGAAGAUCCUGGGAAUUCUCCUAAGAAAACUGAAUAAACAAAAUGCAGAAAGUGUUGGGUCUAGAAUUACACUUGUUGUUGUUUAGUCGUUUAGUCGUGUCCGACUCUUCGUGACCCCAUGGACCAGAGCACGCCAGGCACUCCUGUCUUCCACUGCCUCCCGCAGUUUGGUCAAACUCAUGCUGGUAGCUUCGAGAACACUGUCCAACCAUCUCAUCCUCUGUCGUCCCCUUCUCCUUGUGCCCUCCAUCUUUCCCAACAUCAGGGUCUUUUCCAGGGAGUCUUCUCUUCUCAUGAGGUGGCCAAAGUAUUGGAGCCUCAGCUUCAUGAUCUGUCCUUCCAGUGAAUACUCAGGGCUGAUUUCCUUAAGGAUGGAUAGGUUUGAUCUUCUUGCAGUCCAUGGGACUCUCAAGAGUCUCCUCCAGCACCAUAAUUCAAAAGCAUCAAUUCUUUGGUGAUCAGCCUUCUUUAUGGUCCAGCUCUCACUUCCAUACAUCACUACUGGGAAAACCAUAGCUUUAACUAUAUGGACCUUUGUUGGCAAGGUGAUGUCUCUACUUUUUAAGAUGCUGUCUAGGUUUGACAUUGCUUUUCUCCCAAGAAGCAGGCGUCUUUUAAUUUCGUGGCUGCUGUCACCAUCUGCAGUGAUCAAGGAGCCCAAGAAAGUAAAAUCUCUCACUGCCUCCAUUUCUUCCCCUUCUAUUUGCCAGGAGGUGAUGGGACCAGUGGCCAUGAUCUUCGUUUUUUUGAUGUUGAGCUUCAGACCAUAUUUUGCGCUCUCCUCUUUCACCCUCAAUAAAAGGUUCUUAAUUCCUCUUCGCUUUCUGCCAUCAAGGUUGUGACAUCUGCAUAUCUGAGGUUGUUGAUAGUUGGGAUUCAUCCAGCCCAGCCUUUCGCAUGAUGAAUUCUGCAUAUGUUAAAUAAGCAGGGAGACAAUAUACAGCCUUGUCGUACUCCUUUCCCAAUUUUGAACCAAUCAGUUGUUCCAUAUCCAGUUCUAACUGUAGCUUCUUGUCCCACAUAGAGAUUUCUCAGGAGACAGAUGAGGUGAUCAGGCGCUCCCAUUUCUUUAAGAACUUGCCAUAGUUUGCUGUGGUCGACACUGUCAAAUUACACUACUUAACUGUUAAAAAACAUCAGAAGCCCUGCUUUGUGCAGAAUGUGAAACCGGCAUAGAAGUUGUGAUUUGGCUCCGUAUGUGUAUUUAACUUGAGUUGUGAUCUUCUAGUUGCAGAAAGACAGAAACUUCCGGUAAAAUAGAGAAAUAGUUACUGUACCUUUCCGUGUAUAAGAUUUUUUUUCCCCUUUAAAAAUCAUGCUCAGAAGUGGGGGUCCUCUUAUACAUGGGUAGUGCAUAGGGUAGACAUUUAAUUGGUUGCUGCUGAGAAUGUCAGCGGCUAUUGUGUGUGUUAUUGGUUGCUGCAUCAAUGGGUGUUGUUUUUCUGACGCUCCAGCAGGCGGGCGAUUGGCAGCUUCUGCCGGUGAUGGGACAGACGGGAGGCUGAUAUAGCGACGCAUGGGGGGUGAGCAAUUUUCGGCACCCCCCCAACAACUCUAUGCCAUCUCCCCACAUUUUCUUAAAUUUGAGUCCCCCAAAAGAGGGGGUAUCUUAUACAUGGGGGUGUCUUAUAGGCAGAAAAGUACGGUAAUUUAUAAUUAUGUUUUCAUGAAAAAUGGGUGCAGGAAAAAUCAUCUGCUGAUGAGGAAUGAUCCCAGUGUCUGUGAAACAGCACUAAAAUUUUUAGGCAACAGUUGACAACACAAUUGCACCGGAAGUCAGGUUCCUAGACCUUGGAUAGCAUCUCCGAGGUCUGGCGAAGGCUCAGAGAUGCUGUCUGAGGUCUUGCAAGGCUUCGGAACCUGAGUUCCAGUGUCACAGCAACUCUGAAGUCUUGCAAGGCCUCGGACAUGACUCUGCUUUGCAGAAGUUGCAUCAGGGGCUCUAUGGUGUGGGUGCUGAGCACCCACCACAAAAUUGUGGGUGCUUGGGCCCCCAGGGCCUCCAAUAGUUGCCGCCCCUGGUUAGCAGGGGGUAUUUUUUGAACCGGAACUCAGUUCCAGCACCUCUCAGGUGGGCACCAUUGGCAUUAUAAGAAAAGAAGGGAGGUGUUUCAUGUUGAGUUCCAGCACCUCUUUUUCUAGAAAAAUAGUGUCUGUAUCUAGCCUGGGCUUACUAUGAAAAUGACUGAUGGAUGAAAAUCAUUUAGAUAAAGCUGGGCAUAUGCAAAAUAGUCAGGGUUUUGGCUGCUAUAUGCACAUUUAUCUAAGUGCAGGCUGAAUAAAGCAUGGAAUCAUCCAGUCAGUAUCCUGGCGGCGUGUGUUUGUGUAACAGCCAUUUCUAAUAACUUACUCUGCAUGUGUCAGACACACUGCUAAUCCUAGUAAUGUGUUUUCUGUGCACCAGUUCCUAAUGGGACAUAUGUAAAUUAGUAUGCAGAGGAGGAAAGAUGAGUCACAGUUUGAACAGCAAAUGGGCUCCUCUACUUCCAGACACGACUGCUGUCAUUUGUGCCAAAGCAAGACGCUCUCCUUCUGUACAUUGAGUGAUUCAGUUUACACUUUGCUAGCUAAGUGCUCUCUGACUCAUGGACACAGAUCUCAUGAAUCUGAGCUUCAGGAUGUAUCUUACAGGCAUUAGUAUAACCAGUAUAAAAAGCAAAGGUAUCUAUAUCAGUUCAUUAGAACAAUGUCCAAAUCCACAGCUGUGAGAUGCAUUUAUUAUGAGCAACCAAACCCUCACAAAAGUAUAAGCAGGCUUUUGAGUUCUCUAGAAACACAUUAUCAGGUUGGAUAUUAUGCCGAACAGGGAGUGGGGGGAAGAGGGAAAUGAAACAAAAAAGAAAGAACAGAACUAUGUCCUGAAGUUGUAGCCAUAAUGCUAACACUGAGUAAAUUGGAAAAAAAUGUAUAAAUCUAAAUCAAAUAAGUGUUGGAAAUGUAAAGAGAAAGAAGGUUCUUUUUAUCAUAUGUGAUGGUCUUGCAGUAAGGUUAAAACUUACUGGAAAAUGAUAUAUAAUGAACUGAAAAGGAUGUUUAAAAUAACAUUUGUAAAAAAAACCCAGAAGCUUCUUUUUGGGAAUUACAGGGACAGAACUACCUAAACUGUAUAGAAACUUAUUCACGUCUGCUACUACAGGGGCAAGAAUGUUACUUGCCCCAAAAUGGAAAGAAGCAAAGAAGGGCCGAUGGAAGAAGAUUGGAAAAAAUUUAAAAUAUAUCUUCAGAAAUACUGUAAUAUAAAAGAAUGUUAGAAAAGGUUGGAGAAGAAUAUUAGACCGUAUUGGCAGACAGAGUAUAAUGGAAUAAGUAAAUAUGAAGUGUAAAAUAAAGAUAGAGGAGAAUUAAAUACUUUUGAAUGUUAAAAUAAGUAAAUGAAAAGAAGGUUAGAAGGAUUUGCUGGAGAUACGAUCCAAACUAGAAUACAAAGCAGAGAGGUGAGAGGAAGUCACGGAAAUAAGUAAAUGGGAAAACGGUUUUAAAGAUUUAAUUUGAUUUUUUGUUACCCUUUUAUGGUGAUUUUUUGUCUUUUGUAUUUUUCUUUUGUAUUGUUUGUUUUUUGUAUAAGAUGUAUGUGAUUUGUUUUUCUUUUUCUACUUUUUUCUUUCUCUGUAACUUUCAAAAUUGGAAUAAAUAUUUUUAAAAAAAAAAAAUGGAAAGAAGCAGAAGUCCCAGCAAAGGAAGAAUGGACACAAAAACCUACAGAAUAAGCAGAAAUGGCAAAACAUACUGGAAGAAUAAGAAAUCAUGAUAACAAGCUUUCUAUAAACGAAUGGAAAUGAUUUAUUGAAUAUUUACAGAUAAAUUGUAAACAGGUAAGAACAUUGGCAGGAUUGUUGUAAUGACCUGCAGUUUCAUAAGAGUAUAUAUUUAAAGCAGAUGAAUAAAUUAACAAUUUGGGUUAAUUUGGAUAUGCAGAAGAUAUUAAGAAUAAAUUUAAGGAACUGCAGAAAGGGGGGGAAAGAAGACAAGUUCUGAAAUGUUAAAGUGAUUGUGAAAUUAGUGAAAUAUAUAAAUUUGGAAAGCAUAAAUAAAAUUUUAAAAAAGAAAAAAAAUGACGCUGUAGCCAGAAUUUAAAUAUUUCAGUAGUAACAGAGGCAGAUGCACUGAAUUGAUCCCAACAUGCUGCAUGUGCACAACAUCACACAUGUUGCCCCACCAACCCUGGCCAGGCCAACUAGGACCUUCACCCCCACCCCACAACCACCUUACCUUCGUGAAAAGGAUGCACCAGGGCAAAGACGCUUCGUCCUGGCGCGUCCCUGGCAGAGAUUGCCAGAGUGCUCUUCUGGAAGGUGCCCUUGUGAUCUUCGAGGGGACUGCUGCAGGACUGGGGUGGGGGGACACUGGUCCUCACCCUGAAAAUAUUUUUGGGGGGCCUCGCUCCCCCGUCCCUCCCUAGAUGGCACCCCUGAACUGAAGUUACUUUCAGGACAGAGACUGCUGGCUGGACUGGAUUAAUCUCUGUUAGAUGCUGACUACAUGAAACAUACAAAGAAGAUAAUAAGAAAGGAUUUAGCUACACGAUAUCUAGAUUUCAAAGGGAAGUGAUACAAGGGAAAGUAAAGCUGUUGAAAGGUGCAUAUAGUAUUCUGUUAGAAUGGGAGACGAAAGACGAAGAGGUGAAAUCAGUUAUGAUUAAAUGGACACAAGAUAUAGGUCAUAAUAUUAUGUUGGAAGAUUGGGAAAGGUUAUGGGAAAUUGAUUUAAAAUUUACAGAUUGUUCCUUGUUGAAAGAAAAUUAUAUGAAGAUGAGGUAUAGAUGGUAUAUAACACCAGUGCAGCUAGGAAGAAUGUAUAAAACCAGUUCAGAUAUGUGUUGGAAGUGUAAAGAAAAGGAAGGGACCUUUUACCGUAUGUGGUGGGAUUGUAAUGAAAUUAAAAAGUUUUGGGAAAUGAUAUACAGUGAACUGAAGAAAAUGUUCCAUCUAACAUUUGUUUAAAAACCUGAAGCAUUUUUGUUAGGGAUUGUAGGGAAAGACCUGUCAAGGAAAUUGAAAAAUAUCUUCAUGUAUGUGACAACGGCGGCAAGAGUCUUAAUAGCACAAGGAUGGAAGAACGAGGAAAUCCUGACUAAAGAACUAUGGCAAGAGAAACUGAUGGACUACUCAGAAUUGGCAAAAUUGACACAUAAACUACGUGACAAGGAUAGCUGUGACUUUAAAGAUGAAUGGGAACCUUUUACAAAGUACUUAAAGAAACAACGAAAUGAACUGGACUCCUUGGCAGGUUUUGAAUAAACAUCCACAAACUUUUUAUUGUUAGCAGCUAGUUAGAUAAAUUAAGGAUCUAUACAAUUUUGUAAUAUACAGAGACUAACAUUUGUUGAUAAACCAGAGAGAGGAACUGAAGGAAGUUGGAGGGG